UACGUAGGUGGCUAGCGUUGUCCGGAUUUACUGGGCGUAAAGAGCGCGCAGGCGGUCGUUCAAGUCGAGUGUGAAAGCCCCCGGCUCAACUGGGGAGGGUCACUCGAUACUGAUCGACUCGAAGGCAGGAGAGGGAAGCGGAAUUCCCGGUGUAGUGGUGAAAUGCGUAGAUAUCGGGAGGAACACCAGUGGCGAAAGCGGCUCUCUGGGGGCGAUCUGACGCUGAGGCGCGAAAGCGUGGGGAGCAAACCGG
rnacentral:rRNA from 1 species